rnacentral:rRNA from 1 species
UACGUAGGGGGCUAGCGUUGUCCGGAAUCAUUGGGCGUAAAGCGCGUGUAGGCGGUCCGGUAAGUCCGCUGUGAAAGUCGGGGGCUCAACCCUCGGAUGCCGGUGGAUACUGUCGGGCUUGAGUACGGAAGAGGCGAGUGGAAUUCCUGGUGUAGCGGUGAAAUGCGCAGAUAUCAGGAGGAACACCAAUUGCGAAGGCAGCUCGCUGGGACGUUACUGACGCUGAUGCACGAAAGCCAGGGGAGCGAACGGG